AAGAAACCAACCGGGAUUGCCUUAGUAACGGCGAGUGAAGCGGCAAAAGCUCAAAUUUGAAAUCUGGCGUCUUCGACGUCCGAGUUGUAAUUUGAAGAAGGCAACUUUGUAGCUGGUCCUUGUCUAUGUUCCUUGGAACAGGACGUCAUAGAGGGUGAGAAUCCCGUGUGGCGAGGAUCCCAGUUAUUUGUAAAGUGCUUUCGACGAGUCGAGUUGUUUGGGAAUGCAGCUCUAAGUGGGUGGUAAAUUCCAUCUAAAGCUAAAUAUUGGCGAGAGACCGAUAGCGAACAAGUACAGUGAUGGAAAGAUGAAAAGAACUUUGAAAAGAGAGUGAAAAAGUACGUGAAAUUGUUGAAAGGGAAGGGCAUUUGAUCAGACAUGGCGUUUGCUUCGGCUUUCGCUGGGCCAGCAUCAGUUUUAGCGGUUGGAUAAAUCCUCGGGAAUGUGGCUCUGCUUCGGUAGAGUGUUAUAG
rnacentral:rRNA from 1 species